rnacentral:lncRNA from 1 species
GUUUUUAUUAGUAUAUUUGUUCAUGUAAAGACGUACAUACUGAAAUCUACUACUAUCUAAUUGACUAGUUAUGUUUUACUACUUAAACUAUGCUUGGCAAAGCUUAUUCUUUUAUUUUAGUUUUGCAAUACUUCAAUAUCAUUUCUAAUUAUUUACUUUUUAGUUAUUAGCAGUAUGUCAUCGGAUCGAAGUUGGAUGCGGCGACGAGUGGAUAAGGGGUUUCUUACAAAUGAAUUUAUUAUGAGAGUCGAAGAGUUUAUUGAAUUUGAGUAUUCACAAUUAGGGGUAUUUGAUAAUAUUAGAUGCCCUUGUUGUAAAUGUGGCAAUAAAGAAUUCCAUAUGCGAGAUGAUGUAAAACUUCACUCAUACAACAAAGGGUUUACCCAUGAUUAUACUCAAUGGUAUGCACAUGGUCAACAAUACAUUAGUCCAUUUAAUUUAGGUGAAUCCUAAAAUGCACAAGAACAAAGCGAAUGUAGAAAUCAAGCAAUGGUGAUGGAUGCUAUGGGCCCUAAUAUCUGCAAUACCAUUUUCAAUCAGCAACAUUCUUUUCCAGAAGAACAUGAGCCAAAUCCAAGAGCUGCAAAUUUCUUUAGACUACUUCGAGAAGCCAAUAAACCUAUAUGGCCCAGUUGUACAAAAUACACUAAACUUUCAGCGAUGUCACGGCUUUUGAAUUGUAAGUCUGAAUUUAAUAUCUCUGUAACAUGUUAUGAUCAUAUAUUGUCCAUAAUUACAGACAUGUUGCCAGAAGGUGCACAGUUAGAGGAUACAUUUUACAAAACAAAGAAAAUGUUAAGCAGUCUUGGUUAUAUAAAGAUACACACGUUUGACAAUGGU